ensembl:lncRNA
CAUUGACUCCUUCUGUGCUAUAGGCACAGCCCGAAAUCUGAGAUAUCUCAGACACCCGGGUGCCCUUUGUCCAAGCCCAGUCUGGGUCCAGUUCCAACCCUGCAGCUCUUCUCUCUUGUCUUAAUCACAGCAAACUGUGUGUAUCUGUUGUGGCAGAGAGGCUGCAAGAUUUGCAGAUGAACUGAACAAUAGUUUGGUGGCAAAGAUGAAUCCUUAAAAGGGUUUUUUUCAUAUAGAAAUUAAUAGGGGAUUUCACUUCAGAUGGGUGUUCUGCCCCAUUUCAGUAAUAUGGUAUUACCAAGUGCGAUUAAAAUGUUUUUUCCUAAUAUUUAAUAAUCAAAGAAGACCGUUGAUAAGUUUUCCCUCCUUUUCUGGCCUUGUAAUAUAAACGUAAUAAAUUAAUCAGGUAACGUCAUGAGGGGUUAUGGGAUUUCAGGCCAUCUGAGCACGUAGCUAUGAGGACACUUUCUGCACCUUUGCAUGCAACAAAUGAGUUACAAUGCAGAGCAGCCCAGCUUCACCCAUGUGCACUGUGAGGCAAACAGUUCCUGGCUAUGUUUGCUAUGGCCUGAGCUCUGGGAAGUGCUCUUUCACUCCAUCAGCCCUACUGCACUUGCUUGUUUUUUUCCCCUACAAACUGAAAAAGAGGAGGGAAAUGUAUCUUUGCAACCACGCAAGCAAGAAUUAGCCCAACUGUAUUUUACAGGUAAACUAACAAAUAAGAGCAAUCUGAGCAGCCCCAGGGAGCUGAAUUUGUUUGCCGCUGGGCUGUUCUAUCUGCAGCUGGCAUCGGUGGAAACCUGAGUGCUCCAUUAAAAGUCGACAACCUCUGUUUGCUGGGGCACGGGGCAAACAGAGCCAGCCUGUUCUGCAGACAGACUGACUGCCUUCAUCCACCCCCCCCCCCCCCAACACCCUGCUGGUGAUGGGAAAUGAUGGGACUGGAACAAAAAGCUUGAAACUAGGACUCUGUACACUUACCCUGUGGCCGUUGUACCAAGGAGGAGUAGUGACACAAGGUUGGUUUUCAGGGGCAAUGUGGGAAAUACGCCGAGUACAAAUGAGGGCUGGGGCUCAUCUGCAGGUAUUGAGAGGAAUGGAGAGUACAUAGUGCUGAUGUAUACCCCACAUAGUGAACCAGGAGGUGCGCAUCUGAAACAUCAGGGAUUGCAUGAGACCACUCGAAGACAAUGGGAACAAUUUGAUAAAGCAUCCACCUUUCAGCUGUGUCCAUUGGUUAAUGCCUUUGGCAACCACGUACUCCUCCCUCACCUUCCCCAGGAUGCCCAAGCCUAUGUCCUACAGCAUUACCUUGCAGUAAGCAGGGCUGCUAAAACGAUGCCUGGAUGCUCUUGCUGCUCACCAAGCAGAAAACUGGUGUGUGUGUGUGUGUGCGUGUCUAUGUCUCCAUGGUGGAACAGAGUUAAGCUGCACCUCAAACACUUGGCAUUAGGGAUAACUGACAUGAAAAUACAUUGAUUUUUUUUUUGUUUGUUUUUUGAAGACACAACACUUCAGCUAAAGGUCAGUGUAGUAGCGCACAGGAAGUACACUGAGCUUCGAUGGUAUCACAGUGUGAAGGGAAAUGGAUGGUGCUAACCCAAACACAAGGGAAGUGGUCUUUCCACUCUGAGUCUACAGAUAUUUGAAUGGUCCAAGUCUACUGCGUGGCCUUGUGGAUUCUGAGACAUCAGAGGCAUUGGGGUACAGAAGAAGCCCAGUGACCUCAAUGCAUUUUGAAUGCUGUCUGUUGGGUAAGUGGAUGUCUUGUCUUUAUGGUUUGAGCUUCAGCUACUUGUCUGGUCUGACAGUGACAGACAUCAAGUUGCAGUGAGUGCCUCGUGGUACCAAGAGAGACAGCUGGACUUGCUGUUGAGCUUGAUGGUCUUUGUAGGUCCCUUCCAACUGAGUUACUCUGUUCUAACUGUGUUUGGUUUGUGCUGUUCUCUGCCUCCUGUUUCAUGAUCAGUUCUCUUUCUCCCAUCACUGUUUUCUCUGACAUUCUUCUCUUGAAGAGGUUUUGUGUCUUACAGUGCACAAAGAGCAGAGUUGGAGACGGAAGCAAUGCAAAACUCAG